rnacentral:rRNA from 1 species
CAUGAAUAAGCAUCGGCUAACUCCGUGCCAGCAGCCGCGGUAAUACGUGAGGAUGCAGGCGUUAUCCGGAUUUAUUAGGUUUAAGAGGGUUGUUCAGGCUGCCUGGUAAGUCAGGGGUGAAAGUCGGUUGCUCAACGAUCGAAUUGCCUUUGAAACUGUCAGUGCUCGAGUAUGGAUCCGGUAGUCGGAAUGUGUAGUGUACCGGUGAUAUGCAUAGAUAUUACACAGAACACCGAUUGCGAAGGCAGCUUACCAAACCAGCACUGACGCUGAAGCACGAAAGCGUGGGGAGCGAACAGGAUUAGAUACCCUGGUAGUCCACGCCGUAAACUUUGCUCACUCGCUGUUGGCGAUAGACAGUCAGCGGCCAAGGGAAACCGAUAAGUGAGCCACCUGGGGAGUACGGCCGCAAGGUUGAAACUCAAAGGAAUUGACGGGGGCCCGCACAAGCGGUGGAACAUGUGGUUUAACUCGAUGAUACGCGAGGAACCUUACCUGGGCUUAAAUGUGAAGUGCAUUGAUUGGAAACAAUCAUUUCCUUCGGGACCCUUUACAAGGUGCUGCAUGGUUGUCGUCAGCUCGUGCCGUGAGGUGUCGGGUUAAGUCCCAUAACGAGCGCAACCCCUAUUGUUAGUUACCAGCGCGUAAAGGCGGGGACUCUAGCGAAACUGCCGGUGUAAACCGCGAGGAAGGUGGGGAUGACGUCAAAUCAGCACGGCCCUUAUGUCCAGGGCUACACACGUGUUACAAUGGCCGGUACAGCGGGCAGCUAGGCAGCGAUGUCAUGCUAAUCCCGAAAGCCGGUCCCAGUUCGGAUUGGAGUCUGCAACCCGACUCCAUGAAGGUGGUAUCGCUAGUAAUCGCGCAUCACCCAUGGCGCGGUGUAUACGUUCCCGGGCCUUGUACACACCGCCCGUCAAGCCAUGGA